rnacentral:rRNA from 1 species
UAGAGUUUGAUCCUGGCUCAGGAUGAACGCUAGCUACAGGCUUAACACAUGCAAGUCGAGGGGCAGCGUGGGGUAGCAAUACUCCCACCGAGACCGGCGAAUGGGUGAGUAACACGUAUCCAACCUACCUCUGGCUCAGGGAUAGCCCUUAAAAAAGAUGAUUAAUACCUGAUGGUGUCGCAUGAUCUCAUGACAGCGCGACUAAAGAUUCAUCGGCGAGGGAUGGGGAUGCAUCUGAUUAGUUAGUUGGCGGGGUAACGGCCCACCAAGACGACGAUCAGUAGGGGUUCUGAGAGGAAGGUCCCCCACAUUGGUACUGAGACACGGUCCAAACUCCUACGGGAGGCAGCAGUGAGGAAUAUUGGUCAAUGGGCGCAAGUCCUGAACCAGCCAAGUAGCGUGAAGGAUGACGGCCCUAUGGGUUGUAAACUUCUUUUGUCGGGGGAUAAAGCGGGCCACGUGUGGCCCUUUGCAGGUACCCGAUGAAUAAGGACCGGCUAAUUCCGUGCCAGCAGCCGCGGUAAUACGGAAGGUCCGAGCGUUAUCCGGAUUUAUUGGGUUUAAAGGGAGCGUAGGUGGAAUGGUAAGUCAGCCGUCAAAUCGCGGAGCUCAAUUCCGUCCAGCGGUUGAUACUGUCAUUCUUGAGUGCACAAGAGGCAGGUGGAAUUGAGAGGUGUAGCGGUGAAAUGCUUAGAUAUCUCGAAGAACUCCGAUUGCGAAGGCAUCUCGCUGGUGUGCACCUGACAGUGAGGCUAGAAGGUGCGGGUAUCAAACAGGAUUAGAUACCCUGGUAGUCCCCACAGCAAACAACGAAGGCUCGUGACGUGGGACGAGCUUCUACGUCGCCUCGCGAAAGCGUUAUGCAUCCCCCCCGGGGAGUGCGCCGGCACCGAUGAAACUCUAAGGAAUAGACGGGGGCCCGCGCACGCGGAGGAACACAUGGUGUAAUUUGAUGAUACGCGAGGAGCACUACCCGCGCGCGAAAGGCAGUCGACGGAGAUCAGAGGCGAGCUAUUCCUUCCGGCGCCCGUGUAGAUGCGGCACAGUGGUCUUCUCCUCGCGCCUCGAGGGGUCGGGGUAAGAGCCACAACGAGAGCACCCCCCAUCUUUGCUGACCCUCUCGUAAUGCCGGGGACUCCAGCGACACUGCCACCGCAAGAUGUGAGGAAGGCGGGGAUGACGUCAAAUCAGCACGGCCCUUACGUCCGGGGCGACACACGUGUUACAAUGGGGGGCACAGAAAGAAGGCCGGUGGCGACACAGGCCGAAUCCUCAAAUCCCCUCCCAGUUCGGACUGGAGUCUGCAACCCGACUCCACGAAGCUGGAUUCGCUAGUAAUCGCGCAUCAGCCAUGGCGCGGUGAAUACGUUCCCGGGCCUUGUACACACCGCCCGUCAAG